AAAGUAGUGUUUGUCUCUCUAUUUUAUUGCAAAAAAUUGAACUAGAAGCCCCACAAACAUGACAAACACGCCAUACAUGGAUUUCCUUCAUAUGCUCAUCGAAUAUUUUGUAUGUCGUUUCAACGCACGGACACCUAACUAGUCCUUUAAUUAAGUUAAAAUGGUCUUUAACCGAGCGAUGAGCCAAUGGUUGACUUGGCUGAGUGCUUGGGCCUAGCUGAGCAACUUGCCUGUUGUGCUUGAGGUCGGUGGACGCGUGACUGGUGAGGUAGCCCAUGGAUCGUGAAAACAUUAAGGGCCUAUUUGGAUCUAGGAGCUAAAGCAAAAUGUCUAAAGUUUAGCUCCUCCUAAGAAGCUAAAAGUGUCUAAUACAUUUUUACUAUUUUAGUCACUUUUAUUUCUU